rnacentral:rRNA from 1 species
GACGAACGCUGUCGGCGUGCUUAACACAUGCAAGUCGAACUGAGUGUCGCACGGGUUAGUAACACUUUCCUGACCUGCCUUGCACUUCGGGAUACUCUUGGGAAACUGGGUCUAAUACCGGAUAGUGCAAGAUGAGCUCGCGGCCUAUCAGCUUGUGGGUGGGGUAAUGGCCUACCACGGCGUCGACGGUUAGCCGGCCUGCGAGGGUGUACGGCCACAGUGGGGCUGAGCUACGGCCCAGACUCCUACGGGAGGCAGCAGUGGGGAAUAUUGCACAAUGGGCGGAAGCCUGAUGGAGCGACGCCGCGUGGGGGAUGAAGGCCUUCGGGUUGUAAACUCCUUUCGACAGGGACGCGGUACCUGUAUAAGAAGCACCGGCUAACUACGUGCCAGCAGCCGCGGUAAUAC